GCGUAUGCGUAAGAUAAUUCUGUCUACAAAAACUUUCACAAGUGAGAAAAGAAAAUCAUCUAAUGGUUUUUCGCAUCUGCUGAAAUUUGAGAAACCUUCUAUCCUUAUACGUUUCAAAAUCUUUCGGACUAUCAUUGUGAAGGAGGAGAAAGUUCAUGAAACUUAUCUCCAGCUCUCAGAUCCAGGUACGUCUGCUCAUGUCGGUCGUUAGAUAUCAUUUGUAGCUGUCUUACGGAGACUUCAAGGUAUGUCUGCUCGGCAUCCACAGGCCUUGAAGUCACCUUCUUUUAUUUUUUACUACCGUUGUAUUUCUUUUCAGUCAGACAGUGAUGUACUAGACACUUUAGCUUACUCUUAGAGCUUACGACUUGGUUCCACCGGUUUUGGGAAUGUAUUUGUUGAGACUCUAUUUCAGAAGUUUAUAUCAGUUACUCAGCCUUA